rnacentral:misc_RNA from 1 species
UCUCCGUAGGUGAACCUGCGGAGGGAUCAUUACACAAAUAUGAAAGGCAGACCCUCAUUGGGGCGUAACGUCGCGCCGUGUCCGCAACGGCAUAUUGCUGUUGUGCUGACGCGGCGGGGGGGUACGCCCUUUUGGGCCAGUCUGACUCCAUAUUCACCCAUGUCUUUUGCGUACUACUUGUUUCCUUGGCGGGUUCGCCCGCCAAUUGGACCCAAUUAAACCUUUUUUGUAAUUGCAAUCAGCGUCAGCAAAACAAUGUAAUAAAUUACAACUUUCAACAACGGAUCUCUUGGUUCUG